CAGCAGCCGCGGUAAUACGUAUGGUGCAAGCGUUAUCCGGAUUUACUGGGUGUAAAGGGAGCGUAGACGGAUGGGCAAGUCUGAUGUGAAAACCCGGGGCUCAACCCCGGGACUGCAUUGGAAACUGUUCAUCUAGAGUGCUGGAGAGGUAAGUGGAAUUCCUAGUGUAGCGGUGAAAUGCGUAGAUAUUAGGAGGAACACCAGUGGCGAAGGCGGCUUACUGGACAGUAACUGACGUUGAGGCUCGAAAGCGUGGGGAGCAAACAGGAUUAGAUACCCUGGUAGUCCACGCCGUAAACGAUGACUACUAGGUGUCGGGUGGCAAAGCCAUUCGGUGCCGCAGCAAACGCAAUAAGUAGUCCACCUGGGGAGU
rnacentral:rRNA from 1 species